ensembl:rRNA 5S_rRNA 5S ribosomal RNA
UACCACAGCCAUAACACAUCAGCCUGUGCUAUCAGAUCUCAAGCUAAGUAGGGCCAGGUUUGGUCAGUACUUGGAUGGGAGACGUCCAAGGAAAACCCUAUUGCUGCAGGAA